CUUAUCCAGAGCGGCUGAGGGACUGGCCCUAUGAAGCCCGGCAACCUGUGGAGAUCCCGCAAGGUGCCAAUUCCAGCGUGAUCGUACGAUCCGGAAGAUGAGG
rnacentral:ncRNA from 1 species